rnacentral:sRNA from 1 species
GCUGGGUGUGGUGGCACAUGCCUGUAAUCCCAGCAGUUUGGGAGGCUGAGGCAGGAGGAUUGUGAGUUCAAAGCCAGCCUCAGCAACGGCGAGGCGCUAAGCAACUCAGUGAGACUCUGUCUCUA